rnacentral:lncRNA from 1 species
UGGGCCUCUGUGCCUAAGGACAUACAACCACUGACAGGAAGUUUGUGGGGUGUGCUGCCUCCUGGCACCCCUGACUGCCUGCUCCCCUAUCAUUCUGGCCUUCUCCCGCAGGAAACAAUGAAGGGAGAUACCAGACACCUCAAUGAAGAGGAGGGCACCAGCGGGCGCGAUGACUCCAUUAUCGUCAACGGGGCCUGCAGUGACCAGUCUUCCGACUCCAAGGACGCCCCCUCGCCCCCAAUCCUGGAGGCCAUCCGCACCCUGGAGAUCAGAGGGCGCAGAUCAAGCUCUCGACUAUCCAAGAGGGAGGUCUCCAGUCUGCUCAGUUACACUCAGGAUCUGACUGGCGAUGGAGACGGGGAUGGCAAAGGGGAAGGUGGAGAUGGCUCUGACACUCCAGCGAUGCCAGAACUCUUCCGUGAAACCAGGACUUCGCUGGAAAGCCCAGCAGUAAGUUCCCACACACUGAGCCAAGGCCCUUCUAACCACUCGGUCCUGCUUAGAAAACACGCACACUCCUGAGUGAGAGUGGUACACAAAUGACAGCAAGAUGACAGCAAGGUACGUACACCGUUGUUCUUGGUAUGUUUAAUUUUACAUGCCGUUCAUUUCUUUUCUGUGGUAGAUGUUGAGUUUUUUCUUGAAUCUAUCUUGGAAGAGAUGGUUUGAUGUUUGGUGGUGAAGCAAUAGCUCCACUGUCAGUUUCUUGUGGGAGCCCUCUCAUUCCUGCAGGUCGAUUCUAUGGCUCACAGAACCAUAGUCAGAGGUCUGGGAUAAGGAAGGCCAUUAUCGUUCAUGACUAUCCAGUUCCUAACAUACUUCCAAUUGUGGCUAUAAUCUCACCUGCCAGGCAUGAGGUGUGUCUCACUUGACACAUGAGGGAAGAUUCCAAUAACCCCUCCAAGCUUACACAUCAACUCUUAUCUACAGAAUUUGAACAUAGGGCUGCAAGACCUACAGUUAUUCCAUUUUGAGAAAACAUACGGCCUAAGUGCUUCUGAUUUGAAUAUUCCAAUAAUUGGCCUUAUGCUUCUAUUUUGGAAAAAAAAGUUCAGUUUAGGGUAAAUAUGGAUUUUAUUUUUCAAUCCCAGUUUUUAGGUACAGGUUUGAGUUUAGUUCUGUGACAGCAGAACAGGACCUGUUGUAGGCUGGACUGUCACAUGACCACCUCACCUCCCUUACCCCACUUAACAGCAAUUUCUGGGCUAGAAAUCAGUCUAGAAGUUUCCAUUUACUUAAUGACUUUGCUUACUUCUAGUUGGUUUGAGGCCACCAGGGAUCUUUGGCCACCUCAAGACCGAAUGCUCAGCCUCCUGCCGCUGUCCCCAUUUUCCAGGUACCUGAGGCCCAAGUUUAUCCUAUCUUGCUUCCAGGUUCGAACCCGAAAUAACAGCAGUGCUUCCAGCUGGGAGAGGUACAGACCCUCCCCACGUUCCACCUGAGGCUGGCAGGGCUGCAGUCAGAUGGAUGAGACCCCCGUGGAGUUCCCAGCUACUAGGGUUGGUCCCCCUACCACGGUCUCUGAUGGGAAGUCUGCCUGCUUCACACACCCAGCUAUGGCGGGUGUCCUGUGUCCUUUCUGCACUCACUCACCUGCUUUUCAGCAUCUUGCUUUUCCGUUCUCUCCUGGGUGUGGGUAAGUUUCUCUUAGGCCAACAGCUUCUCUUCCUGUCCUGGUCCUGGAUGGAGCAAGAAUCUAUUCAUUGGGCUCUUGCCUCAACUUGGAAUUGAGCUGGAAGCCACUGAUUUUGAGGACUGUUUUCUCUCCUUACACCUUCAGCUGCCUUUAGGCUUUGGGCAGCCCCAGAGGGUCCAGCAGAAUCUGCUUUUUUGCCAAGUUGGGCAUGCAGUGGGUGCUUCAACCAGUGACCCUCUCUGAGCUUAGUCCUUGGAGCCUCUUGUUAUUGUGCCUUCAAUCCCCACUCUGUGUCCACCUCUGGACUGUUACAGUGACUUUCUCCUACCACUUCAGGGAGAUUUGCUCCUGGAAAACUGUCCUUGGUGGUUUCUGCCUCCUUCACUUGUUUCUUCUACCCUUCCUGCAUGUGUGGGAAGCCACUGGGAAAACAUGAUCCCUGUCACCCACUUGCUUUGCUGUACUGGAGCCCAAACUGUCCUUUUGUCCACAGUCCCUGAGGCAGCAGGCAGCUGCAUCUGCAGGCACACCAUGGUCGUCUUCUGCCAGCCCUUACCUCAUCAUCGAUCUCACAGAUGACGAUGUAACACCCCAGAGCAGCAGUACCCCUUACACCAGCCUAGCCCAGGGCAGCCAGCGGGACAGCUUGGAGUCCUCACAGGUGGACACAGAGGGCAGAGAUACAGAUAGCGUGAAGUAUCAGGUACACAAAAAGAUGUGUCUGAAGACCUUAAAUAAGAGGAAAGGAAAACAAUUGCCACCUACUGUUGGUAACUUACAGUGAUAAACUGGUGCUAUAAUUUUUCUCAUUUCUAUUUUUAUUUUUUUCCUGAGACAGGGUAUUGCUAUGCAUACGAGGCUGGCUUCAAACUCACAGGAAUCCUUCUGCCCCAACUUCCCAAGUGCUGGCCAGCUUUUUUUUUAGUUUUGAAACAGGGUGUCACUAUGUAGUUUGGCCUUGAACUUGUGACCCUCCUUCCUCAGCCUCCACAAUGUGAGGAUUAUGGGCAUGAACCACUGUGCCUAGUGAAUUUCCUAAUUUUUAUCAUAUUUGAAUAUUUAUAAAUAGCUUCCAUAUGCAGUAUGGCCUUUCCUUUAUACUAUAGUCCUAAGUACCAUCGUUACCAUGUGAAUACUGACUUUCUGAACAUUGCUUGUUGUAGAUAGAAGUAUUGUUUCUAUAUGUAAGAUAAUAUGGUUCUGUCCAUGUACAUCUGAUUAUAUACUGGCUUUUUUUUUUUUUGAUACCGGGGAUCGAACUUGGGACCCUGCGCUUGCGAGGCAGGCGGUGGAACCACUGAGCUAAAUCCCUGGCCCCUAUACUGGCUUUUUAUUUAGAGCUAAGAGUUGUUUC